rnacentral:rRNA from 1 species
UACGUAGGGUGCGAGCGUUAAUCGGAAUUACUGGGCGUAAAGCGUGCGCAGGCGGUUUUGUAAGUCAGAUGUGAAAUCCCCGGGCUCAACCUGGGAACUGCGUUUGAAACUACAAGGCUAGAGUGUAGCAGAGGGGGGGUAGAAUUCCACGUGUAGCAGUGAAAUGCGUAGAGAUGUGGAGGAAUACCAAUGGCGAAGGCAGGUCUCUGGGCUGACACUGACGCUCAUGCACGAAAGCGUGGGGAGCAAACAGG